rnacentral:rRNA from 1 species
CACGUAGGGGGCAAGCGUUGUCCGGAUUCAUUGGGCGUAAAGAGCGUGUAGGCGGCCAGGUAGGUCGGUUGUGAAAACUGGAGGCUCAACCUUCAGAGGUCGACCGAAACCAUCUGGCUAGAGUCCGGGAGAGGAGAGUGGAAUUCCUGGUGUAGCGGUGAAAUGCGCAGAUAUCAGGAAGAACACCAAUGGCGAAGGCAGCUCUCUGGGACGGUACUGACACUGAGACGCGAAAGCGUGGGGAGCGAACAGG